rnacentral:tRNA from 1 species
GGCAUUGUAGUUCAAUUUUUUAGAGUACUGCCUUGUUAAGACAGAGUUGCGGGUUCGAGCCCCGUCAGUCCCG